rnacentral:rRNA from 1 species
AUGGCGCUCGCCCUAAACUACAUGUGUGAUGCAGGAAAGGUCCGGACAAAUGCAAAGAUAAACAGAUGGCCUUCGGUCCUAGUUGGGCAUCUAGUUCUAAAUGUUGAUGCUUCCUUUUCUGUUGGAACAAACUCCAGUGCUUGUGGAGCGAUUAUCAGAGAUCAUAAAGGGCAUUUCAUUAAUGCUUCUACAGCUAGGCUUGAGCAUGUGGCUGAUGUUGUUGCUGCCGAAGCAGCCACACUUUUUGAAGGAUUGAAGCUGGCUCUAAGUUUGGGCUGCACUAAACUGCUGGUAAGGAUGGACAAUAGCACAGUGGUGUAUGCACUAAAUCUCAACGAAGGCCAUUCGAUGACGGCAGCGCGAGUGUUGGAUGAUUGCAGGAGUAUAUUGUGUGAUUUUGGAAAGGUUACAAUUGAGCAU